AUUUGUUUGGUGAAAAUCUGCCAAUUAAAGACCAAACUGUAAAUCUUCAAUACAAACAUUAUUUCAGUUUUUCUACAUGGGUGAUAAAGCUGAAGAUCGACUGGAAAAUGGUCUGUAUGCUUCCACAAGUAAAUGCUUGUGAGAACAUGGCCAUCAAAAGGAAUUAAUUUACAAGAAGGAUGCGUAAUAAAUUUGGAACCUGCUAUGUAACAGGAUGAAGGAUGACACAUGAUGUGGGAGCUUUACCUUUGAUUCUGAGACAUGAAGAUUUCCUCUUAUGCCUACCCCAGAGCCGGUUCUGAGGGGAGGAAACAGGAUGCAAAGUAAUCAGUAUUUCUCAAUGAAUUUUCAAAAACAUCUCCUACUGUUGUGACCCAGUCCUCUGUGGUGGUUUUCUGAUGGACCAUGACUUGCUCUUGGAUUCUGCUGACUGGGUGAGGUAAAGAGAGGCAAAGAUAAGCAUCAUUCAGCUGUCACCCUUCUGCCCUUGGGGAGUUCUUUCGCUGAAGCUGUCUGGAGCAUAUGUAAAGGUUGAAUACGUGCAAUCUUGAAUAAUACCUAUGUAAGGAACAACGUUGGAUUCACGUACCUGAUUGUAGAGCAAUGGUAACUUGUUUCACUGAUAGCUCUGGGAAAGGACAUAAUGAAUGCCCUUGGGAAAGAUGACGGUGACUUUGAGGCCUCAUGUUGUGGCUUAACCCCAGCAGGCAGCUCAGCACCACCCAGCCACAGGCUUAUUCCCCCAUAGUGGGAUGAGGAGGGAAUCAGAAAGUUCUCCAGAUCUGAAGAGUGAAGGUCCAGUUGAUCACCAAGGAGUCAUUUACUGUUACUAUGCGCUCACUUUUGCUGUGUGACAGUUCUGUAUGGAUUACAAUGGCCGUGAUAUUUUUAAAGCAUAUUGUCAUUUUUUUUCUUUCUCAUUUUCUUAUUUUUCUCGCAGCUGAAGCACUUAAUGUAUCUCUCCUAUCUUUUGCAUAUAUAAUGUUCAACUGUGUAAAUUGUUAAUCUUUCCCAUUAUUUGGCUUGUUUUACUGAAGGCAGUAACCACUCUUAAGUAUUCAAUGCUCAUACAAAAUAAAAAAUAAUUCAGAUUUAUUCCAUCUAUUUAAAACUGCUCAUAUAUUUGUAGUAUCUCAAGUUCUACUGCCUCUAUUCCCCGAAAGAGCAGAUUUUCUCUUAAUCCCUGGAGACUGCAUAAUAUUAGGAAGUCAUUAGUGGUGAGCAUCCAUGUUAUUAAGCCUUAUGAACAACUUUUGAAUAGUGUUGCAUGUAUCUUUAUUGGAGCUCUAUAUGUUAGUCAUCUACCUCCACAGAAAUUUCUGCAGUUCUGUACUUCUGAAGUAUCCAAACAGCACUGUUAAGAUUAUGACCGUAAAGCAAACCUUGGAAAGUCACAUGCAAGUCUUGAAGAUGUGUGCAUGGGUAUUCUGGGAGGAAGACAACUCUUUGCAGUGGCCCCAACUCCACUCAGUGCAGUUCAGCUCCAUCCUGUCAUCCUCCUCUCCCAGACAUGCUUACCUGUUGCCACUGUCUUGAAAUGACCAAGUCCCACUCUAGGAUGUUUGUGUAAUGGCCCUAUAUGUAUGCCCGCUCUGGGAGGUUUGCCUGCCAGAGCAGCCUGAUUCCCUGGGGAUCAUGGGAGAGGUGCCCCACAUUCUUACUCUGCUCCCUGUCUGGAGGUGAUGGGAUGGAGCUUGGAUGGCAGUGCCAUACACUGCCAGCUCCUUAUCUGAAGAUGUUACAAGGUAGUAUCUUCAAAAAUGAAUUACAGGAACACAUGACCAAGGUUACAAAACUAUAGUCUUGAGGUACAGGGAAAAUUUUCAGAGCAAGACAUAUUGAAAUGAGUUUUUAAAUUGUGAAUGUCGACUUUCUAGAUGAUUUGAUAUUCCCUGUGCUUUAUAAGUAAGCUUUUAUUAUUUCUGUACUUCCAAAGUGAAUCCUUUUUCAUUCAUAAAAUUAUCUGAUUUUAUAUUCCAGGGUAGUAGCUGGGUCACAUCAGGUGCUGAAGCAAAUGUACUGACAUCUGAAUUAGCUCUCUGAUCUUGCUAAGAAUGUAACUCAGAUGAACAUGACAGCAAUUGAUUUUUAUAUACCCUCUUUUUUAUACAAUCUAUGACACCUUACAUCUGCAGUUUCCCAUUAUAAAUUUUGAAGAAGUUUAAUCUCAGAGAAAGCUUUAUUCAAACAUUGUGCUUAUAGAUGAACAGCAUGCACUCUUUUCCUUUGUUUAAAGCAAUGCAAUUUUGUUUUCAUAUACUUCUGCUUCACCAGUGUAAUCCAAUACGUUUUCAGAAACAUAAAUCAGAAUAUCUCUUCCUAUACUGUGCACAUUUUCCAUAAUAAGAUCCGAGCAUGACUCUGAGGGGAUUUUUUAUCAAUAUCUUCUGAGGUUUUUAUAUUUAAUUUUUUUUUUUUUCAAGCAAUCCUGUUGCAAAUCAGUCUUUGAGGACUGGUAAUAAUAAUAGUGAGUUCUUAGCAGUUGUCUCACACAACCAUACAUCUAGUGACUGGUGCUUGUUCAACAAUGUCUGCCCUAUAAAAGAUGUAAUGAAGUUGAGUGAUCUCUAAGGAAUAUGAUACUCUGCACUUUCCAGCAUCACUGGCUGUAAUAUUGUUGCUUGGAACUCUGCAUUCAUAAUUUUGUUAUCCCUGUCAGAACAUCAAAUGCAAUUUUGAUGGAAAGGUGGGGUCUAAUUUUUCCAAUUACUAGUUGCUUUGUUGAAACUCAUCCUUAUUGUUGCUCUUGAAGAUGAAGAAGUAUAUGCAAAAUUUCUUUGGAGUACAAACAAAAUGAAGCAUGAUAAUUAAGAUCUUCUUCCAACUACAGCUUUUCCAUAUAUUCUUCUCUAAAGUGAUGUUUUAUAUUCAUAAUACGUUAAACAUUAAGUGCUGAAAACACAUUAAAAACAUUUUCAAAAUGCUUUCACUUUUCACCUGUAAUUGAGUCAUCAAUAUUAGCAACCAGCUAUGAAACUAAUUUGGCUUAUUGUGUUACUCAUCCUCACAUCUUAAUUAAUGAUUAAUAAUCUUACUGACAUUAAAAGGUUCCUUUUGAAAUGUAACUACUGCAUUGUAAUACUAUGCUAUGACUGUCUCCAAAAUUAUCUGUGCCAUAAUAUUUCUUUGUAAUUAAAAUAAUAGGUUUAUAUUUGCAGCUGGACAAGCAGGCAAGUCUGUGAAGCCUAAUAUGUUCAUAUGUAUUAAAAGAUCAUCUGUGAUAGACAAGGGAAUUAAACAUCAUGAUAUGGUUUAUUCCUCCAGAAAAUGAACUCUGUACUCGAAUGUUUUAUGGAUUUUGCCAGCUGCUUACCUUCCUCCAUCUUCUGUAUAUCCCUUGCAAAGAUAAUGUUUCUUUGUUUAAAUCCCACUGUUUCUGGGAAAUCACAAAAUCAGUGUUUUUCCUUUAUGCUAGCAGUACUGUAGACAUUACGUCAAGUCAAUUGUAGGAUGAUGCAAAUAUAUUAAUGUGUACAUGAAGUUCAUUUUGUACGAUACAUUAUUCAUUUAAUGGGCUACUGAGUGAGGUUGAAGUCUGAACUUCUCCCAGCACUCCCAAGGAGGACUGUUGUGUGGUUUAUGUAUCCAUCAUCUUUACAUGGAAUUUCUCCUUUAGGGGAGGUUUAGGUUGGUUAUAAGGAAAAAAGUUCUUCACUGAGAGCAUGGUUGGCCACUGCAACAGGCUUCACAUGGCAGUGGUCAUAGCACUGUGCUUGUCACAGUUCAACAAGCAUAUGGACAACACUCUUAGUUGUAUGGUCUUGAUUUUGGGUGGUACUAUGUGAAGCCAGGAGCUCGACUUGAUGAUCUUCAUGGGUCCCUUCCAACUCAGGAUUUUCUAUGAUUCUAUGAUUCUAUUAUCAUACAAUGUGGCAAUUAGACUAGGGAUGUGCUUUAGGUCCUGAAGAUUAUCUCCUUUUAAUGGAUUUUGAGGAGAUAUGAGCAAAAUGUUCAUGUUUUUAAGGAGCAGUAUAGUAGCCCAAAUGCUCUAUUCACUUCUGAAAACUAUAUUUGAAUGACUGGUGUUUAAUUUUUCCCUCCUGAAACAGAAACAGCAGCAUUUUGGUCACACUAGGCAUCCAGUUUCUUCUUUACAAGCUGGACUACUACACAUAAAAUCAAGUGUUUUUCUUGCAUUUGGUUGUCUUUGCAGGUGAAAUGAGUCAGUUUACUUUCUAUACACCAGUUUAUCUUAGACAUCAACUCAUAAUUUACUCCUUGCUGUAUUACUUGUAUCUUACUGAUUUUCAGCAAAGUACAGUGAAUGUACAAGAUGAGUCAAGACCACUCCAUAGCCCAAAAGGCAAUCCAAGCAAUGUCUCAUACAAACAUUUUCGCUGCUUCUCAUGACUCUUCUUUCCUUAAUGAACUAAUCUGUAAUCAGUGAUAGAUAUGAUCUGGGGAUAGAAAACCUCUAGAAAGAAUUUGCCUUAAGAAAUGGUACACCUUCCUUUGAGCAGUUAUUACUUUCAUUCUGUGCAUCUUCAUUUGUGUCUUUAACAUCUGGAAAUACCUUAAUAAAUUAACUUUAUUUUUUCUGUAGUCCCACUAUCACUAUGCCAUUAUCAUUUUCAGUUUUAACAAUUAAUUACUUACAAUUUAAUGCAAUAAUAUUUCAGUUUUUGAAAAACAGAAGUAGUUGUUGGUUCUAGAUCCAAUUCCUAUAGAGCAGUAAGACGAAAAAAAUCAGAGAAUUGACCAAAUGUACAAACCCAAAUUUACAAACCCAAACUUCCACUCAUUGAG
ensembl:lncRNA